UCAGUACUUUAAUAUAAAACUCACAUAUCUAUUUAAUUAUUUGCUAUGACACUCUGAUAAACUUGAACUUGUGUGAUACAUAUAUGUUUCUUAUCAGAUUUAAUUAAUGAAGUUUUGGUGCAUUUUAACCAGUAAUAAGGCUACAAAAGUAGCAUCAGGUGUAUUCUAACCAUUGGUAUUUUUCCUGGCAACAUUUCUAUUCUAGUCUGUGAUAAAUUAUAAAUAAAAAAAAUGUUUGUAAUGUUUCAGUUAUUAACAAGUAGAACCAUGGCAACCAGUUCUGAUGAUGUACCAGAUUGGCUCAAGGAUCAUACUUAUACUAUUUCUACUCUCUGGGCAGACAUUCAAUAUUUAAUUUAUGUUUGGAAAUGCAAGAAAAAGGCAUGCAUUCCUGAAAAGUCAAUGAUUGGUUGCACCUCUUAAAGAUAACUUUCUGUUAUGAGAAAAGAUGAGAUUCUUGGACUCCUGCAUAGCACCACCAGAAAGGAAAAUCCCAUCAUGUUGCAAAAUAAAAGUCUUGGACCAAUUUUAAUUUAAGAUAUAUAUAUUAUACUGUAAGCUGUAUACAUAUUUAUGUAUAUCCUGUCAUUCAGCCAACAGGUUUGGAUUUAGUAUAUCUUUAAAUCUGUUUGAUAUUGUACUUGAAAACUAUUAAUCUGAGCCCCAUUAAAACAAGAGGGAGUGCAGUAGAUGAGUGGUAAGGGAAAUUUUACUUUUUUAAAAUUAAAAUAAGAAUCUAACAAAAGUUAACAUAUAAAAUAUGGUGCAUUCUCCUUAAAACUAAAACCUGGUGCAAAGGUUUAAAAUGUUGGCAAAAAAAAAGCAACAUCAAUUACAUAUUCUUAAUUCCCUUUGCAAAACUUACUGAGAAGAACAUGCAUGUUGUUCCCUCAUAAGUUUCUUGACAGAGGAAAUCUUGUUUAUAUUAGAUUUGAAUUAAGCAAAUUAAGAAAAAAAAAAUUAUAAUCAUUAUUUCAAAUGGUUUUAUCUAAACCUUAUGAAUUAUUUUUCAGUUAUAAGUAUAUUGAAAUGAAUGGAUAAUCAUGAAAUCGUUAAAUAAUUGCUGCUAUCAUUUCAUUGACUAAAGAACCAUAAUUUUUUUUUUUAAUUAAUUUCAAAAUGAUUUUUUUCAAGCAGAGUUCACAUAGAUCUUGAGUGAAAUUUUUAUUUUUUUGACUAAUGCUUCAAUUUUAUUGUAUCAUUAGUUUUUUAUUUUUAUUACCCAGAAUAUUUUAAAAAUGAGUACACUAUUUUCAUGUAAUAAUGUAACUUGGUAUUCAUACAUCAAAAUACGCUAUAAUCU